CAGUAGCCGCGGUAAUACAGAGGGUGCGAGCGUUAAUCGGAUUUAAUGGGCGUAAAGCGUGCGUAGGCGGCUUCUUAAGUCGGAUGUGAAAUCCCUGAGCUUAACUUAGGAAUUGCAUUCGAUACUGGGAAGCUAGAGUAUGGGAGAGGAUGGUAGAAUUCCAGGUGUAGCGGUGAAAUGCGUAGAGAUCUGGAGGAAUACCGAUGGCGAAGGCAGCCAUCUGGCCUAAUACUGACGCUGAGGUACGAAAGCAUGGGGAGCAAACAGGAUUAGAUACCCCAGUAGUCCCUGUCUCUUAUAA
rnacentral:rRNA from 1 species